rnacentral:rRNA from 1 species
ACUCAAAGGAAUAGACGGGGGCCCGCACAAGCGGCGGAGCAUGCGGAUUAAUUCGAUGCGACGCGAAGAACCUUACCUGGGUUUGACAUCACCGGAAAUCUUGCAGAGAUGUGGGGUCCUUCGGGGCCGGUGACAGGUGGUGCAUGGCUGUCGUCAGCUCGUGUCGUGAGAUGUUGGGUUAAGUCCCGCAACGAGCGCAACCCUCGUUCCAUGUUGCCAGCGGGUGAUGCCGGGGACUCAUGGGAGACUGCCGGGGUCAACUCGGAGGAAGGUGGGGAUGACGUCAAGUCAUCAUGCCCCUUAUGUCCAGGGCUUCACGCAUGCUACAAUGGCCGGUACAAUGGGCUGCGAUACCGUGAGGUGGAGCGAAUCCCAAAAAGCCGGUCUCAGUUCGGAUCGGGGUCUGCAACUCGACCCCGUGAAGUCGGAGUCGCUAGUAAUCGCAGAUCAGCAACGCUGCGGUGAAUACGUUCCCGGGCCUUGUACACACCGCCCGU